UACGAAGGGGGCUAGCGUUAUCCGGAAUUACUGGGCGUAAAGCGCACGCAGGCGGUCUUGUAAGUUUGACGUGAAAGCUCCCGGCUUAACUGGGAGAGGUCGUUGAAGACUGCAAGACUUGAGGAAAUGAGAGGGGUGUAGAAUUCCCGGUGUAGUGGUGGAAUGCGUAGAUAUCGGGGGGAAUACCAGUGGCGAAAGCGGCACCCUAGCAUUUUUCUGACGCUCAUGUGCGAAAGCGUGGGGAGCGAACGGG
rnacentral:rRNA from 1 species